AUCCUGUUCCUGUACUCCCAGACCAGCGUGCUUGUAGAUUCUACUCCCAGCUCUGGAAGGGAGAGCAAAGCCCAGAGAUCCACUCCUCCUGUCGUAGGCAAACCAUCAUAAACAGCAAUUGUGGAGAGGCUGGAGGAUGAAGACUGACUCCCCACCCCCAUGAAAUGAUCAGGGCUGAAGUGGGAAAAAUGAAGUACUGUCAAUGAAUCUUGAAAAUGGUCUGUAAUGAAACAUCCUGGACCUGAGCCCCAAGGACAGUAGGGGGAAGUUGGGAAGCCAAGGAGUCCAUGUUGCAAUGUGCAAGAACUCUGAAGACAAGAUUGGC